GGUCGAUCGGUUAGGGAGCACGGUGAAAGAUUACGGCGCAUUUCAACUCGUAUCCUCGUCGUCUUACGAGAUUUUGACGCGAGUGAGUGUUUCGAGGGAACCGAAAGUGAAGUGAAAUGUCGAGCGUUCGUGUCAACAUCUGUCGUCAGUUGGAUACGAUGCAUGGUGCGAAGUUGUGUCGCGUUCAAUCGUGUAGGUUUCGCAUCUUCUCCGUUGCCUCGUAUUCCGAGUUUCAAACGCGUGUGAGUACCAAGAGUGUUUAGAGAGUGCCGAAAACGAAGGAUCGUGCGUUUGCCAAGUGUGAAUCAAGAGGAGGAUCGUCGUGAGAAAGAUCUUAAAUCUCGAGCGUACGUUCGAGAACUGAGACCGAGACGGAGCUGAACAAAUUGCGAUCAGCGACGAACGAAGAGUCAAUUUGUACUUGUAUUUGUCCCUACAAUUCGGUAUUCGCGCCUUGUCCCCAUUAAAUUUGCAUAAUUACAUUGUACAGUGCGACGAGACGAAUAAAUCGGUCGAAAGUUAGGAACGAUUUGAAAUUGACAUGGCGCACUCGGCGCUUUCUUCGCCAGGUGUACCAACAGUUGGGCGACGUGCUUUCCGAGGUCACAAGGUUCCUUUCCUAAUAUGUAUAUACGUCGUUUUAUAACUUAUUAAAAUCAUACAAUAUCAUGUGUGCAAUGUACAUAUGCAAAUUACAAAUUAGUUGUUGAAGUUAUUUACGCGGAUCUAGCUAACAAUUAAAAUUAUGUAAUACGCAUGUAAAUGCGAUCAUGGCCUCGUUACAUAUAAAUCGCACAGUUAGUGACACCACAUCACAAUUUUUUUCGUUAAUCGAGAGAUUACUUUCGUUAACUAGUACAAAACUCAGCGAUAAAAAACAGAUCGAUGCAUACUUGAACGAUCUCAAUGAACUGGAUUACCGAUACCUCGAUAUUGUAAAUAACGAUGCGGUAUUAUUAUUAGUUAAUCAACUCUGCGUAGCUGUUUUACCUAAAGAAACGUCUUUAGUUCGAAAUGUUUGUAAAUUUUUAUAUAAUUUAACUCAAAGCAAUAUCAAACUCCAUGGCCGAACAUUUGUGACUUGCAAACGAUGGAUUUUAGAAGCACUGGAAUUUUCUGAACCACUGGCACAAGUUGAUGUGUUAAUUGCCAUAAAAAGCUUUUUACAUUUUGGAUAUUUUAAUGAUAUCAAUCAUCAUGUACGUCUGUUACUCAGAGAUAAGGGUUUGUUAAUGAAGCAUUUAAAUCCACUAUGUAAUCCAUGGUCUGAAAUCAACUUCCAUGCCCUUGGCUGUUUAGAAGAAAUUGUGAUAAACAGAAGUAACAGUUAUUGUUUAGCAGAAGAAUUUACAUGUUUGAUAAAAGAUAUAAUUUUUAAGAUUUUAUCACUUUUACCAUACGACAAUGAUGAUAAGCUUUACUACAGUAAGGUCAUAAAUUCAUGUCUGCACAUUUUGCACUACAUGAUCUUGGAAAAAUUGAUUCCUAGCUCUCCCGAUUUUGUCGGGGAGAUAUUAGGAGUGGUGCAAACGUUCUUAUUUUAUGGCAUCAAAGGUUAUUCAGUCACGAGGCCGCAAUUACUUCGUCCAGCUGCAAUGAAUCUCCCAGAACGUGUUCAUGUAAUUCCUAAAUGCAAAAAUCUUAAAAAUCACAAAGCAAAACCCAAGAAAACACCGACCAAGAAAACUACGUUGGACGUAGGAAAUAAUACUCUUCCAGAACAUACUGGAAUUACCAAAUAUUCCAGUGAUUCGGAUACUUCGGACACGGAGAUUAACAAUUUUGUCCACAUGGACUCCAAAGUGAGAUUGGGAGCCAUACGUUUAUUGCAAACUCUUAUAGAAAUCACACAGAGUAGAGAGAUUUUUGGGUACUGGCCACAAAUCGUAGCUACCGGCACGCGGAACGACGCACGAGUAUUGACAAGAAGUAUAUUAGUUGAGCCUGUAUCUAAAGUACGACAGAAUGUAUUGAGUACGUUAACUGAACUGCUGAUAGGGGCAAAACCAUUUCUGAUACAUGCCGAAGAUACCAAUCAUACCUCUUUCAUCACGUUCUUUGGUACAGUAUGUUUAAUGGUCAAAGAACUCCAUUUUACGCUAUCAUUAAUUUUGCUCGCUGAAAAGAAUGUAGCUGUGUUAACGCACACGUUAAAAUGCACGGCAGCUCUUGUACAAGGUACACCAUACGAACGAUUGAAACCCGGUUUGGCUACAAAAUUAGUUAGGAAUUGUAAACCGCACAUAUUUCACAAAGAUCCAACUGUGCGAGUUGCGGCGUUGUCCAUUUUCGAAGCAUUUGCUUCGAGCGAGCCUAUUACUCAGGAAAUAUUAAGCAUAUUAGCUAAGCAAACAGUGGGCGAAACGGGAUCGGGAAGGUCACAGCUCGAUACCGGUUCCAUUAAUGACGUUGGAACAGAAGAGGAAGAAAUAGAUGUCGAAGAUGUGGAAAAUUCGAGAAAUAACUGCAAUGAAAUCACAUCAAUAUCAAAAGAUGAAAACAUCUGUUUGCUAGUUCGCAUUUGCUUAGAAAAUAUAUCCAAUAAGUCAGUUAAUACACCUGUACGAUUGCAGUCUUUAAAACUCAUGGGGAGACUGGCAUUCAAUACAGGAACUCUCGUGUUUUCUCAUUUGGAGAAAGUGACCACGGCUUUAAUUUCGGUUAUGGAGGAGUCGGAAAGUCAAGUGGUAUUGCACUCGUGUCGGGUUUUAGAAAUUAUGUCUAGCUGUCUCGCAAACAUAGAGACUUAUCAUAGCAGUGGUACAUUAUUUUGGAACAUUAUAUUUGAAUCUAUGAUAUCACUCGCCCAAACAUCGCAGACGAUAUUACGAGAGGCUGCUUGCGAUUGUCUAGGUAGCAUCAGUGGAAACGUAUUCACGCAAUUAUCGAGGCAAAGAAUUAUACUAAUAAUUACAAUACUGUUUGGAGCAGUUCGCGAUGAAGAGAGUGCUGUGAGGGCAGCCGGUUUACGCGCACUGGGGAUGUUGGUAACUUUACCAGCGUUAGAAUACGAUACCGGUUUCCUCAUGGAUCUUGCUGAUACAGUUUGUUCAGCUUUUGACGACAAGAAUCUCGGUGUUCGUGUAAAGAGUGCUUGGGCAUUGGCAAAUCUGUGCGACUGUCUUUCCAGGCAAAAGCAGCAUGAAGACGUAGAACCAUUUCCUUUAGAAGAUUUGUUACCCAAACUGUAUCUUGUUAGUGUCAAGGCUGCAAAAGAUAAUGAUAAAGUGAAGUGCAACGCCGUCAGAGCAAUUGGAACUAUUUUAUAUCUAUGUCCACAAAAGUCCAUACUUUCCGACACGACAUUAGGAUUGGACGCGCUUAUCAAAUGUGCCAUUUUAGGAAACGAUAUGAAAGUACGGUGGAACGCAUGCCGAGCUUUAGGAUUGGUUUUGAGCCAUAAUCCAGAUUCGAUAUUGCCACCUUCUUGGAAAGAUCAAAUAUUUCCGGCGCUUUCCACCUUGAUAUGUGAUAGUCCUAAUUUCAAAGUGCGCACCAAUGCCGCAUGGGCAUUGUCUUCGUGUAACCAUUACGGCAAGUACACUGUAAUGUUGUGGAAAAGUAUCGUUUUAGCAUUUGAAAAUGCUCAACACGUCCCAAGCUAUGUUGAAUAUCCGCAUCGAGACGCACUAAUUCAGCAAUUGUGCCUUACUCUUGGUCGCGUCGCUACUUGUACAGAAAAAUCCGAAUUGCAAAGUCUUUGGAUCGAAAUUGGCGAUCAUGUGGAAGAAAUAUCUAAUUUCGUGAAGCAAUUUCAGGAGAAUGUUUUGCCUGAAAAGCUAGGAGAUUUAAUUAAGGCAAAAGCACAGUUGGAACAACAUGUAAAAAACGCUUGUUCUGUCGAGGAACGACAAAUCGCCCAAUCUUUGGCAAAUAUAUUUGAGAGAACUAAUCGUUACGACAAUCUAGAUGCUAUUAACUCUACAAUAUAGAUUUGUGCAACUAAAACAAUGAAAAAUAAAAUAACGCAGCAUAUUCUCCAAUAUGCAUAUUCCUGCCAGCUAUUUACUGUAAUUUACAAUUUCUGCCAACGAAGAUGUUGAUAACGGACAUAUUUUAAAAAAUAUGCCUGUACACGUGAAACUCUCCGCUGCCUGCUCCAGCGCUGCUCCCCAUAACGUUGCGAACAAAUUCCGGUACGGAAGGUGUGUUCUUGACUUUUGGACGUUCUGGUAAUAUAAUCGGUUUGUCCUGCACAAUUAAAACAAAGCGAAUUAAUACAAUUUGGAUCCAACAAUACUUGUAUCUGUUUCUAUCAAUGUAGAUGAACUCGAUUUAAUUUACUUGCUACCGUUCUCUUAAUUCUAAGAGUUAGAAAAAGAUAAUGAGUAAGUUAAAUCGAGAUUAAAAUUAACCUACGUUAGUAAAAAUUAGAGCCGUUUAUUUAGCACAUACAUGGGUACAUGCAUUACACAUAUUGUUAACAUUUACGUGUAUACAGGUUGUAUGAGCAUGUAUUUAGAAUACAAAUAAGUUAAUAAAGAUUGUGCUGCAAAAAAAAAAA